UACGUAGGGACCGAGCGUUGUCCGGAAUCAUUGGGCGUAAAGAGCGUGUAGGCGGCCUUUUAAGUCCUGCGUGAAAUCCUGCGGCUCAACCGCAGACGGUCGUGGGAAACUGGAAGGCUAGAGUGCGGGAGAGGAGAGUGGAAUUCCCGGUGUAGCGGUGAAAUGCGCAGAUAUCAGGAGGAACACCGAUGGCGAAGGCAGGUCUCUGGGCCGAUACUGACGCUGAGGAGCGAAAGCGUGGGGAGCGAACAGG
rnacentral:rRNA from 1 species